AUCCUCGUGGCGCAACUGGAGAGCGCAACGGAUUUCUACUCCGUGGGCUGUGGGUUCGAAUCCUACCGGGGACGCCA
rnacentral:tRNA from 1 species